rnacentral:rRNA from 1 species
AUUGAACGCUGGCGGCAGGCCUAACACAUGCAAGUCGAGCGAGCGGCGGACGGGUGAGUAAUGUCUGGGAAACUGCCUGAUGGAGGGGGAUAACUACUGGAAACGGUAGCUAAUACCGCAUACCAUCAGAUGUGCCCAGAUGGGAUUAGCUAGUCGGUGGGGUAACGGCUCACCUGGGCGACGAUCCCUAGCGUGUCUGAGAGGAUGACCAGCCAGAAUGGAACUGAGGCAAGGGCGAGACUCCUACGGGAGGCAGCAGUGGGGAAUGUUGGACAAUGGGCGCAAGCUUGAUGAAGCCAUGCCGCGUGUGUGAAGAGGGCGUUGAGGUUGUAGAGGUCUUUAAGCGGGGAGGCGUUACCCGCAGAAGAAGCACCGGCUAACUCCGUGCCAGCAGCCGCGGUAAUAC